CGCUUCACAAGGGAAGUGAGACGCCUUCCAGACUCUUACGGGAGGCAGCAUUGGGGACUCUUUNCAAUCGGGGCAACCCUGAUCCAGCAAUGCCGCGUGUGUGAAGAAGGCCUGAGGGUUGUAAAGCACUUUCAGUGGGGAGGAGGGUUGAUAGGUUAAGAGCNUGAUUAACUGGACGUUACCCACAGAAGAAGCACCGGCUAACUCCGUGCCAGCAGCCGCGGUAAUACGGAGGGUGCGAGCGUUAAUCGGAAUUACUGGGCGUAAAGGGUGCGUAGGUGGUUGAUUAAGUUAUCUGUGAAUUCCCUGGGCNUANCCUGGGACGUCCUU
rnacentral:rRNA from 1 species